CGUGGGGAACCUGCCCCAUAGUCUGGGAUACCACUUGGAAACAGGUGCUAAUACCGGAUAAGAAAGCAGAUCGCAUGAUCAGCUUUUAAAAGGCGGCGUAAGCUGUCGCUAUGGGAUGGCCCCGCGGUGCAUUAGCUAGUUGGUAAGGUAAAGGCUUACCAAGGCGAUGAUGCAUAGCCGAGUUGAGAGACUGAUCGGCCACAUUGGGACUGAGACACGGCCCAAACUCCUACGGGAGGCAGCAGCA
rnacentral:rRNA from 1 species